rnacentral:rRNA from 1 species
GACGAACGCUGGCGGCGUGCUUAACACAUGCAAGUCGAACGGAAAGGCCCUGCUUUUGUGGGGUGCUCGAGUGGCGAAAGGGUGAGUAACACGUGAGUAACCUGCCCUUGACUUUGGGAUAACUCCAGGAAACUGGGGCUAAUACCGGAUAGGAGCUCCUGCUGCACGGUGGGGGUUGGAAAGUUUCGGCGGUUGGGGAUGGAAUCGCGGCUUAUCAGCUUGUUGGUGGGGUAGUGGCUUACCACGGCUUUGACGGGUAGCCGGCCUGAGAGGGUGACCGGCCACAUUGGGACUGAGAUACGGCCCAGACUCCUACGGCAGGCAGCAGUGGGGAAUAUUGCACAAUGGGCGGAGGCCUGAUGCAGCAACGCCGCGUGCGGGAUGACGGCCUUCGGGUUGUAACCCGCUUUCGCCUGUGACGAAGCGUGAGUGACGGUAAUGGGUAAAGAAGCACCGGCUAACUACGUG